UCUAUUUGUGAUUUGUGGCUAUUUGUGGAGAACUAAAACUAUUUGUGGACUAUUUGUCUAUUUGUGGACUAUUUGUCAUUUGUGGACUUGUGGCUGGCUGGGCGCUUGGGCCUUGGGCAGCCAGCAUUUGUAUAUGUGGUGGACAUGUGGACUAUUUGUCUAUUUGUGGACUUGUUGUUGUAAUGUUGUGGUUACUUGGUAUGCUAUUGCUAUUUGGAACGUGUCAAUGUCAUCCUGGUAUAUGAUCCCAGUUCCCGCUCGUUUCUGUUUUAUUACAGCCCAUAUUUGUUCAUUUCUGUAUACUAGUUUAUCCCGCUUCCCGUACCGUUUCCGGCUAUCCCGCUCCCGUUAUCGUUAUCGGUGAAAAAAAAUAUGGUACGGAACACAGUUAAGAGAUUUUCCCACCUAUUCCCG
rnacentral:lncRNA from 1 species